rnacentral:rRNA from 1 species
GACAGAGGCCUCAAGCGUAGGCGGAAUCACUGGGCUUAAAGCGUGUGUAGGCGGAUCGUUAAGUGUCUUGUGAAAUCCCACGGCUCACCCGUGGAACGGCUGGGCAUACUGGCGAUCUUGGGCCAACUAGGGGCAACUGGAACAAGCGGUGGAGCGGUGAAAUGCGUAGAUAUCGCUUGGAACGCGAAGGUGAAAACAGGUUGCUGGGGUUGUGCCGACGCUGAGACACGAAAGCCAGGGGAGCAAACGGG